rnacentral:rRNA from 1 species
UACGUAGGGUGCGAGCGUUAAUCGGAAUUACUGGGCGUAAAGCGUGCGCAGGCGGUUCGUUAAGUUCGUUGUGAAAGCCCCGGGCUCAGCCUGGGAACUGCAAUGGAAACUGGCGGGCUUGAGUGUGGCAGAGGGGGGUGGAAUUCCGCGUGUAGCAGUGAAAUGCGUAGAGAUGCGGAGGAACACCGAUGGCGAAGGCAGCCCCCUGGGCCAACACUGACGCUCAGGCACGAAAGCGUGGGGAGCAAACAGG